UUGAAUAAACUUGGUUGGGUUGCUGCUGGCUUUCAGGAGCAAUGUGCACACUCAUGCCAUUUUUACCACCUGUGCACCUAUUGUAGAUCUGGAUGGACUCUUUCGAGGCAACUCGGUUUGAGAACUGCUGUUUUUAAUAUUCAGCUGUUCUUGCGUUUCAGAUCUAUGUUUCAAAUAUAUACUCCAUAUAAGUAAAUGAAUGUUAACUUAUAGGCCUUCUGUGCCUUUAAAACCUAAUA
rnacentral:misc_RNA from 1 species